GCUAGACCAAUCUUUCAACCUCCCAACUACUGAUUUUUGGUGUAGCCAACACUGAUCGUCCAGUGUUCGACUUCAGAAAGCACUCUGACGAGCAUACAUUAUGAUCUGUGAAUUCUUAACAUCAUGCAGACAAUGCUCAGGAGGAACAAUCCAAUAGGUUUUGGUGGCCUUGUUCUAUCACUUCCCAACACAUGAAGUACAGUAUGAAAUUCCACUAUUUUCUUCCGACAUAAGCUGCUAAUUUUGAUAGGUCCGGGAUCCAAAAUGAAAGCUCAGAAGAACCGGUCACAAACAUUAAGCUUCCUGGAGCCCACUUGAUCAUAGGUGGUUCAGUAUCUGUACUCAUCCAACUGGCUACUUCUUUACCGCUCCGGACACUCCAAGCAUAAACACUACCAUCACCUGAUCCUGAUAUAACAAACAUCCCUUCUGGACUGAAAGAUGCCUCCAGUGUUGAACUACUUGAAACGGGCUGUACAUUAUACGUUGAUAAAUGUGUGCCACGGGAAGAAUCAAGCACAUGAA
rnacentral:misc_RNA from 1 species